GGGAAGGUAGCUCAGUGGUAGAGUGCUUGCCUUGCAUGCAUGAAGCCCUGGGUUUGAUUCCUCAGCACCA
rfam:Dipodomys ordii contig_49435, whole genome shotgun sequence.